AGACUGUUUCAGCCCAACGGUCCCAGUUCCCUUGUUCAGGUUAGCUGUACCACUGUCUUUCUCUGCUCCUUUUUUGUUUGUUUUUGGAGACAGGGUCUCACUCCUUCACCCAGGCUGGAGUCCAAUGGCACGAACUUGGCUCACUACAACCCCCAUCUCCCAGGUUCAAGCAACUCUUGUGCCUCAGCCUUCCAAGUAGCUGGGAUUACAGGUGUUCACCACCAUACCUGGCUAAUUUUUGUAUUUUUUAGUAGAGAUGGGGUUUUGCCAUAUUACCCAGGCUGGUCUCAAACUCCUGACCUCAAGUGAUCCGCCCACCUCAGCCUCCCAAAGUGCUGGGAUUACAGGCAUGAGUCAUUGCGCCCGGCCUCUUUCUUUACUCCUAAUCCGUGAUUUGAGAGACUCAAACCAGCCAGAAAGACUCUCAGGGGUCUGGCGUCUUAAGGUUCGGGUUCUUCUCUUCACAGUGAAUUCAAAAAAGCCUCUGUCUCCUGACAGACCCCAAACUUUAAAAAAAAAAAAAAAGCCUCUGUCUUUUUGCUUUGGCAAAGGCUGGCAGGGGGUUAGAAAGCCACUGAUUCCAGGACAACGCAAGCUUAAGCUCAAGAGACCAGAGAUGGGGAUAGGAAGAAGGCCUAAUGAGGUGGAUAGUUCUAGAAAUCAGAAAGAAUGCUGAGUAGGUGAAGUCUGAGUGGUGACAACUUCACUGUCCUGUCUGCCUCACAGGAGCAGUUCUCUACAAGGCUCUUCCACACACACACACACAAGGCUCAGGGGCUCGGUGGGUACAAAAAGCCAGUGGAAACGGAUAAAUACCUAUCGCAUUAAUAGCAGAAGUAUGUCCAAGGUUUUGCACAGGGUAUCACUUGAGGUCAGGAGUUCGAGACCAGCCUGGCCAACAUGGUGAAACCCUAUUUCUACUAAAAAUACAAAAAUUAGCUAGAUGUAUUGGCAUGUGCCUGUAGUCCCAGCUACUCGGGAGGCUGAAGUGUGAUGGUCACCUGAACCUAGAAGGCAGAGGUUGCAGUGAGCCAAGAUCACACCACUGCACUCCAGUCUGGUUGACAGAGCAAGACUCUGUCUCA
rnacentral:lncRNA from 1 species